GAGAGCAUCAAUUCAUAUCCUUGAGCCUUCACAUCCUAAUCUUGUGCUCCAUCUUCAAGAGAUCAUUCGUAGAGAUUUGAUAAAUAAAUCAGCCAUAUUAACUAUAAUCACAUCCUAAUCUUGUGCACCAUCUUCAAGAGAUCAUUGGUCGAGAUUUGAUAAAUAAAUCAGCUAUAUUAACUUGAAUAAAUAUGUUGCACCUUGAAAUUAUCAUACUUUAUAAAUAUGUAAUAUCUUUAUAAAGUGUCGUGGAAUGGCAUUUUCAAUAUCUCCAUAGAUAUUCUCGC
rnacentral:lncRNA from 1 species